CCCGUUGGUCAAGUGGUUAAGACACCGCCCUUUCACGGCGGUAACAUGGGUUCAAAUCCCGUACGGG
rnacentral:tRNA from 1 species